rnacentral:rRNA from 1 species
ACGUAGGGAGCGAGCGUUGUCCGGAUUCAUUGGGCGUAAAGCGCGCGUAGGUGGUUUGGCAAGUCGGAUGUGAAAUCCCGAGGCUCAACCUCGGGACUGCAUCCGAUACUGCCCGACUAGAGGUAGGUAGGGGGGAUCGGAAUUCCUGGUGUAGCGGUGAAAUGCGCAGAUAUCAGGAGGAACACCGAUGGCGAAGGCAGGUCUCUGGGCCGCAACUGACGCUGAGGAGCGAAAGCAUGGGGAGCGAACAGGA